CGUUUCUCCGCCGGCGACCGGCGCACGGGUGAGUAACACGUAUGCAACCUGCCCCUGUCAGGGGGACAACCCCGCCGAAAGGCGGGCUAAACCCGCGUACAUGCCACCGGGCAUCCCGGAGGCAGGAAAGGCUUCGGCCGGACAGGGAUGGGCAUGCGGCGCAUUAGGCAGUAGGCGGGGUAACGGCCCACCUAACCGACGAUGCGUAGGGGUUCUGAGAGGAAGGUCCCCCACACUGGUACUGAGACACGGACCAGACUCCUACGGGAGGCAGCAG
rnacentral:rRNA from 1 species